UACGUAGGGUGCGAGCGUUAAUCGGAAUUACUGGGCGUAAAGCGUGCGCAGGCGGUUCGUUGUGUCGGUGGUGAAAUCCCCGGGCUCAACCUGGGAAUUGCGAUGGAGACUGCACGGCUAGAGUGUGUCAGAGGGGGGUAGAAUCCCGCGUGUAGCAGUGAAAUGCGUAGAUAUGUGGAGGAACACCGAUGGCGAAGGCAGCCCCCUGGGAUAACACUGACGCUCAUGCACGAAAGCGUGGGGAGCAAACAGG
rnacentral:rRNA from 1 species